UACGAAGGGUGCAAGCGUUACCCGGAAUUACUGGGCGUAAAGCGUGCGUAGGUGGUUCGUUAAGUCUGAUGUGAAAGCCCUGGGCUCAACCUGGGAAUGGCAUUGGAAACUGGCGACCUAGAGUGCGGUAGAGGGUAGUGGAAUUCCCGGUGUAGCAGUGAAAUGCGUAGAGAUCGGGAGGAACAUCUGUGGCGAAGGCGACUGCCUGGACCAGCACUGACACUGAGGCACGAAAGCGUGGGGAGCAAACAGG
rnacentral:rRNA from 1 species